UACGGAGGGUGCAAACGUUGCUCGGAAUCAUUGGGCGUAAAGCGCACGUAGGCGGCCUGAUAAGUCGGGUGUGAAAGCCCUGGGCUCAACCCAGGAAGUGCACUCGAAACUGUCAGGCUUGAAUAUGGAAGAGGGUCGCGGAAUUCCCGGUGUAGAGGUGAAAUUCGUAGAUAUCGGGAGGAACACCAGUGGCGAAGGCGGCGACCUGGGCCAAUAUUGACGCUGAGGUGCGAAAGCGUGGGGAGCAAACGGG
rnacentral:rRNA from 1 species